UGAGUACGAGAUGCUACGGCAUUGAAGCAGUCUAUGUCAUACUUCCAAGAAAAGCUUGCACUGUCAUAAACAAAGAAUGCCUGUACCAUAACCGACACAGGUGGGUAGGUAGAGUAUACUAAGGGGCGCGAGAUAACUCUCUCUAAGGAACUCGGCAAAAUGACUCCGUAACUUCGGGAGAAGGAGUGCCUUAUUUUUAAGGUUGCAAUAACAAGAUCCAAGCAACUGUUUAUCAAAAACACAGGUCUCCGCUAAGUCGUAAGACGAUGUAUGGGGGCUGACGCCUGCCCAGUGCCAGAAGGUUAAAGAAGUUGGUUAGCAUUCGCGAAGCUGAUAACUGAAGCCCUGGUGAACGGCGGCCGUAACUAUAACGGUCCUAAGGUAGCGAAAUUCCUUGUCGGGUAAGUUCCGACCCGCACGAAAGGCGUAAUGAUUUGGAUACUGUCUCGGAGAGGGACUCGGUGAAAUAGACUUGUCUGUGAAGAUGCGGACUACCUGCACCUGGACAGAAAGACCCUAUGAAGCUUUACUGUAACUUGAAAUUGAAAUUGGACUUUAGUUGCGCAGGAUAGGUGGGAGGCGUUGAGAAUAUUCUUGCGGGAGUAUUGGAGCCAUCAGUGAGAUACCACUCUUCUAAUGUUAGAUUUCUAACUUUGUAUCAUUAUCUGGUCAAAGAACAGUUUCAGGCGGGCAGUUUGACAGGGGCGGUCGCCUCCUAAAGGGUAACGGAGGCGCACAAAGGUUUCCUCUGAACGAGUAGAAAUCGUAUCUAGAGUGUAAAGGCAUAAGGAAGCUUGACUGUGAGACCUACAAGUCGAGCAGGGACGAAAGUCGGUCUUAGUGAUCUGACGGUGCUGAGUGGAAAGGCCGUCACUCAACGGAUAAAAGUUACUCUAGGAUAACAGGCUGAUCUCCCCCAAGAGUUCACAUCGACGGGGAGGUUUGGCACCUCGAUGUCGGCUCAUCGCAUCCUGGGGCGGUAGUACGUCCCAAGGGUUGGGCGGUUCGCCCAUGAAAGCGGUACGCGAGCUGGGUUCAGAACGUCGUGAGACAGUUCGGUCCAUAUCCGGUGUAGGCGUUAGAAUAUUGAGAGGAGCCCUCUCUAGUGCGAGAGGACCGAGAAGGACAUACCUCUAGUGUACCAGUUAUCGUGCCAACGGUAAACGCUGGGUAGCUAUGUAUGGAGUGGAUAACCGCUGAAAGCAUCUAAGUGGGAAGCCCACCUCAAGAUAAG
rnacentral:rRNA from 1 species